GCGGGUGUAACUCAGUUGGCAGAGUGUCUGCUUCCCAAGCAGAAUGUCAGGAGUUCGAACCUCCUCACCCGCU
rnacentral:tRNA from 1 species